CCGUCUUCAAAGUCCAACCACAACUCCUCCUUCCCCCGCCGUCUUUUAUGCCGACGCAUCCUACCCUCCUCUUGAAACAGGCCCGCACAAAUCCUUCCUCCCUCGCAUGUCCGUCGCCGCCGCCGCCGCCGCCAGCACCGGCCACCUCACCCCAGGCGCGGGACAGAUCUAGGAAUCAGGAGGGGAUGGACGGAGUAUGGCGAACAGGCCGACGGGAUGUGCUCUCUCCUCCCGCUACCAAGGCCCGUGGGCGGGGCGCCCGACCUCUAGACGACGCCGGCGAUAACCAAGGACGGAUGUGCAUCCUGGCAUCUCAGCUCAAGAUGUGUCCAAUUCAUCUCUCCGUGAAGAGGAUUAGCUCCACGACGCCCGCGCCGAACAGCCGAUCAGGAAACCAUCUCCGCCUCCCUGCUUCUUCCCUUCUCUCUGGUUAUCCUGAGAUGGCCCGGCUAGGUGCCGGCCCGACGACACCUCCCCCGCCCAGGCCCUCCAUCGGCUCAAGAUCCGGGCCCCGCCGUGUUGCCGCUCCCAUCUCCCUGCAUCUUCCCGAGAUGGUCCGGCUGGGCGCUGCCCCAUGACCAAGCAUGUGCUGUCCAAGGAAGCCGGCUCCUCCACCCAAGCCUUCCUCUGCAAGGUCGGUGAGGACACCCUUCGUAUGAACCGAUCGUGAUAAUCAUGCACAGGUACACACAUUGACACAUACUCCCUCCGUCCGAAAAUACUUGUCUAGAAUAUCUCGACAAGUAUUUUCGGACGGAGGGAGUACAUGUUUUCCCCACUGAUUUAAUUCGAAUUCAGUUGUCCGUCUCCAUCUCCAAACGGAGCAGAGCCGUCCAGCACACAACGUGAUUUGCAGAUCUAAGGAGGAGGGUGAGGAGGCCGCUGGUGGGUAGGAUGAACAUCGCAGGGAACGAGCAUGCUAGCCGCCCGUCUCGACGUUAUAGAAUCUGAUAAUCUUCUUUUGGUUUUCUUAUAUGUCCGCAGUGGCACUAUGGUGGAUUGGAAUCAUGCCAUGAAGCAGAAGAAGAGGAGGUUUGUUCGCCAUCAAGCCAACCUUGCACUGCUGCACCACGUCUCGCAACAGUUAAGCUAGCUGUUUGUCCUCAAGCUAUUCUGUCUUCUAAUUGUAAGUGGCAAAUCGUAGAAGUGAAGUCCAUCAACAGCAUGGAUGAAAACAAGCUCUGGUAUAAAAUAAGUGAACAGGGACUGCUUUAGCCGUUCCAGAGGCUGUACGCACAUAUAAAUACUCAAGUACUCCCUUGACCGAAGCCCCAGCCCAAUUGCGUCAUUUCGUCCGUGCUCGACAUUGGUGUCUUGCCGUUCUGCCGGAGCCGUGGAAAUCUCACUGUUCUGCCAACCUGGCCGGAAUUUCUCCGUAGUGCCGACUUCAUUGGAAUUACAUCCACUCGUGUAGCCAAGGUACAUCGUUCAAACUGCUCGAGCAAUACUGAUUUGGAGUUGUUUUGGUCAAGCGGUUGAACUGAACCAUGCUACUGCACAGUAGCCAAAAAGAGAGUCAGUUUGUUUCCCUGACCCCUGUGAUCUGAAGCGGCUAAACUGAACCAUGCUAUUACACAAUAGCCCAAAAUUGUCUGGUAGAUAUCAGUAUCAUCAUAUAAUUUUGUUUCUACAAUAUGUAAUAGGUAACCAGCAAUGUUGUUUUUAGUUUACAAGAAUGCUGAUGUUGUUUCAAUGCAUAUAUACUUACUGGAAUUAGUUUGAAUACAUAUACAACACCUUGAUUUUGAAUUUACAAGGUCCUGAUGUUGGAUUUACUGUCUUAUAGAUUUUGUAAUUUACAGUUGCUCCACAAAGUUGCUGUUGUUUGUACAGUGAGCUGAUAUAGAAUGCUUGAUCACACAAACUAAUCUGGCCGCAUAUUUACAGUACUCUUAUGUUGAAUUUACAGUAUGGUGAUGGUGGAUUUAUACACUGUCCUAUAGAUUUUGUUAUUUAUUGUAGUAGCUCCAUAUAGUGUGUCAUUGUUGUUCGUACAGUGAGUUCAUAUAGAGUGCUUGAUCACAUGAAUUUGUCUGAAUGUAUACUACAGUUUCCUGGUGUUUAAUUUAUAAUACAUUGAUGAUGGAAUUAUGGUCCUAUAGCUUCUGUAAAUUUUAGUAGUUAUUUUUACUAGAAUUUUUCGAAUUGCUAUGAUGGAUUUUACAGUACUGUAGUAUUCAUAGAAGUCUAAUUUUUUCUUUGUUUUCGUAGUAAAUUAUACUCCCUCUGUCCCAUACUAUAGGACGUUUUUGCAAGCUAUAUUAGCUUGCAAAAACUUCCUAUAUUAUGGGACGGAGGGAGUAGUUAAUUGAUGAUGGAUUUACUGUCCUAUAGCUUCUAUAAUUUACCGCACUAUUUUUUUUUGAUUGUUUGAAUUUACAGUUCGAAGAUUUACAAUCCUAUAACUUCUGUAAUUUAUAGUAGUAGCCUAAAGGUUGUGAUUUUUAUAUUUCACAGUGAUAGAUUUUACACUAUACAGUUACGUGAAUUUACAGUGCUACAUUUUUUACUGGAAGAACUAUUUGAAGGAGAUUGUGAGAGUACUGACCUGCAGUUUGUCUUCUUGGUAUGACUGUAGUUUACUGGUUGUUUCUCCUUUUUUUUACUGAAGUUCCAGUAUCUUUGUUGUGAUCUGGUUGUUACUGACUGGAAUUUUAGUAAAAUGAACACUGUAAAAUUCAUCAAAGCUGAAUAUGUGCUACACUUUAAAAGUUACUGUUUAUUCAUAGUUAGUUUACUGUAAAUUUCAACUGAAGCCACUGUGUUUAAAGCUUCAUGGCAAUGAAAUGUUUAGUAUGUGAUUAGUUCAUCUUGAGUUGAUCAUUGUACAGCAGGUUGAUGAUGUUUUUGCGGCAGCCUAAUGAUGAAUUUAUAGUAUGUUUGUGUUCAGGAGUUUCUUCCACAAGUAUCAACUUCAGAUCCUUUAGAAUGCCAUGAGAAUUUCAGGUUUUCUUCCAAAAGUGUUGUGAAGAAAACAAAACUGUCAAUAACCUGGAGAAGGUAGUGAGAGUACUGACCUAGCAGUGUUGCUUUUUGGGCCCUUUCAUUGCUUGCUCAUGGAUCAUAGAGCCCAUAGCUCAUACAUACACGAGCCAUGUUUGUAGUGCCUGAAAAUAUUGGUUGAAUGCCCCGUUAUUUUCAGUCAAGUUUUUUUUCAGUUGGUGUCAGAUUUUUACUGGUUGGCAUAUUUGAUUUGAAGGCCAAUUCAAUUUCA